rnacentral:rRNA from 1 species
GUAGUCUCGCACAGAUGUAUAUCAAUAAGCGGAGGAAAAGAAACUAACUAGGAUUCCCUCAGUAACGGCGAGUGAAGCGGGAAGAGCUCAAAUUUGAAAUCUUCAAGGUUCUACCUUGACGAAUUGUAGUUUAAAGAAGUGUUUUCUGUUGGAGUUUUGGUAAAAGUUCUUUGGAAUAGGACAUCAUAGAGGGUGAGAAUCCCGUAUUUGACCAUUAUUUCCAGCUUUGUGAUACACUUUCAAAGAGUCGGAUUGUUUGGGAAUGCAGUCCAAAAUGGGUGGUAAAUUUCAUCUAAAGCUAAAUACUGGCGAGAGACCGAUAGCGAACAAGUACCGUGAGGGAAAGAUGAAAAGAACUUUGAAAAGAGAGUUAAACAGUACGUGAAAUUGUCAAAAGGGAAGCGUUUGACACCAGUGUUGUUUUCUCGAAAAUCAAUUAAAAAAGGCAGGAUUUUGUGUUGUAUUGACUUUAUCAGCUUUCUGCACUCUUUUCUUGUCUUUUUUUAAUGCACUUUUCGUUUAACAAGUCAACAUCAAUUUCUUUUGUUGUAAAAGGGUCAUUGGAAGGUGGCUUUCUUUUCGGAGAAAGUGUUUAUAGCCUUUGGCCUCUGCAAUCGGAGAGAUUGAGGUCUGCAGCGUAGAUCCUUCGGGGUUAGAUACAUUUGUGCUAAGUUAUAGCCUUUCAUAGACAACUUGUUGACUAUGAUCAGUCAUGUAGCUUACUCGCUUAUGCUAUUUUACCUACGCUUAGGAUGUUGAAGUCAUCGUAUCGCGC